rnacentral:rRNA from 1 species
AUGAACGCUGUCGGCAGGCUUAAUACAUGCAAGUCGAACGGUAACAUGUCGGAGCAAUCUGAUGAUGACGAGUGGCGCACGGGUGCGUAACGCGUAUGCAACCUACCCAUAACCGGAACAUAACGUUGAGAAAUCGGCGCUAAUAUUCCAUGUGUAUAUUUUGUGGCAUCAUAGAAUAUAUAAAGAUUAAUUGGUUAUGGAUGGGCAUGCGUAUCAUUAGCUAGUUGGUGGGGUAACGGCCUACCAAGGCUGCGAUGAUUAGGGGUUCUGAGAGGAUAACCCCCCACACUGGUACUGAGACACGGACCAGACUCCUACGGGAGGCAGCAGUGAGGAAUAUUGGUCAAUGGGGCGCAAGCCUGAACCAGCCAUCCCGCGUGCAGGAAGACGGCCCUAUGGGUUGUAAACUGCUUUUCCAGGGAGAGAAACUUACGCACGUGUUGCGUGACUGACGGUACCCUGGGAAUAAGCAUCGGCUAACUCCGUG